rnacentral:snRNA from 1 species
GGAUGUGAAGGUGAUCCGGCUGCAACAUCUGUCACCCAGUUGACCACCAGAGUUGAUUUGUGUGAUCUGGCUGGCUACGCAGGUGUCCCCUUCUUUCCUAAUGCUCCAUGUGCAUCCCUUCCAAAGCUGUGUGCUUGGUCACAGAGAACGACCACCCCCGAUGGAGGAGGUCUGUUCCUCAGUCAAGGGUGUACGAGUAGUUGUGCUCCCUGCUGGAACUUCCAAACAAGCUCUCACUGUGAACUUAUGAUACAUGCGCGGUAGAUUGACAGCUGCUGGUCAACUUGCAACAUUCUGCU